CCUACGGGAGGCAGCAGUGAGGAAUAUUGGUCAAUGGGCGCGAGCCUGAACCAGCCAAGCCGCGUGAAGGAUGACUGCCCUACGGGUUGUAAACUUCUUUUAUAAAGGAAUAAAGUGAGGCACGCGUGCCUUUUUGUAUGUACUUUAUGAAUAAGGAUCGGCUAACUCCGUGCCAGCAGCCGCGGUAAUACGGAGGAUCCGAGCGUUAUCCGGAUUUAUUGGGUUUAAAGGGAGCCUAGAUGGGUUGUUAAGUCAGUUGUGAAAGUUUGCGGCUCAACCGUAAAAUUGCAAUUGAUACUGGCAGCCUAGAGUACAGGAGAGGUAGGCGGAAUUCGUGGUGUAGCGGUGAAAUGCUUAGAUAUCACGAAGAACUCCGAUUGCGAAGGCAGCCUACUAGACUGCCACUGACAUUGAGGCUCGAAAGUGUGGGUAUCAAACAGGAUUAGAUACCCCUGUAGUC
rnacentral:rRNA from 1 species